rnacentral:lncRNA from 1 species
GUGUGUUAUGUGCAGUUUACCAAAAUUGUGUAAGAAUGAAACCCUGUUAUAUAGGUAUCAUGUUAUGUAAGGAUUGCUGCAAUUUUCUAACCAUGUUAUAUGGAAGUGCUUUAUGAUGAUCUGAUCUCAUGAUUGCACUUAUGAUAUUCUGAAUUUGGCUAUUUUUGCGGAGUAUUAGCUGGAAAUACUUUUCUGUUUUAUUGGGGAUUUACGGUUGGCCAAUGGCUGCAUGGCAAAGCAAUUGCUUACCACCUUGAAAAUUCUGCAUUCAAUCCUGACAAUUUUAUCAUCUGAAGGAUUGAGUUCAAAUCCAGACAGUUUUAUCUCCUUAAAGGUUCUGGUCUCCCAUUGUCAAAUAUUACUACUGUGGAUCUCAGAAAGCUCCUAUCUCCAUUUUUGUUUUUGUAUUUUAUGCUUAUCAUAUAUAUAUCAUAUUUAUGUCAUGUCUAUGUUAUAUUUUUAAUAAUUUUUAUCAUAAUAUGUAUGUUUUCUUUGU